rnacentral:rRNA from 1 species
GAUGAACGCUAGCUACAGGCUUAACACAUGCAAGUCGAGGGGUAACGAGAGGGAAGCUUGCUUUCCUUGUCGACGACCGGCGCACGGGUGAGUAACGCGUAUCCAACCUGCCCCCAACUAGGGAAUAACCUUGCGAAAGUAAGACUAAUACCCUAUAAUUUCCUCAGAUGUCAUCUGACGAGGAAUAAAGAUUUAUCGGUUGUGGAUGGGGAUGCGUCUGAUUAGCUUGUUGGCGGGGUAACGGCCCACCAAGGCAACGAUCAGUAGGGGUUCUGAGAGGAAGGUCCCCCACAUUGGAACUGAGACACGGUCCAAACGCCUACGGGAGGCAGCAGUGAGGAAUAUUGGUCAAUGGGCGAAAGCCUGAACCAGCCAAGUAGCGUGCAGGAUGACGGCCCUAUGGGUUGUAAACUGCUUUUAUACAGGAAUAAAGUUAGCCACGUGUGGUUAUUUAUAGGUACUGUAUGAAUAAGGACCGGCUAAUUCCGUGCCAGCAGCCGCGGUAA